GGCCAUUGCUCAUUAUUGUCGCGCUGGAUGAAUUAGACGGUCCACUUGAACGCCGUUCCCGAUCGUGGCCAACGAUAAGAUUUCGAUCUACUUAAACGUACUCUGUAUAUCUAGUACGUUUCACGCCACGCUGACAAUGAGAUCUCGUCGAGCCCAUAGACGUAUUAAGAUGUCUAUCAUCGAGCCGGCAUCGGGGGAAGCUCCGUUCGAACAGCUGUGGUGAGAGCUGUGUCUUCGAGAUUGCAUAAAUAUCGCACGUGCAUACGAAUUGGCAAUCUUCUGACGUUCAGCUGCUGAUUGUUUUUAUUAGUACGGCAUCAUAUACUCGAUACGUGCGUAAGUUUUAACAAUGGCAGUCUCUCCAUACUUGCGUACGUACGGUCGACACCCUUUACACGUUCCCCUUGCGGAAACGCGACGUCUCCAUGGUUACAACAUUGAAACCCCGCUAGGGGAUGACAAAAUGGAGAGGCGCAAUACUCGGCCCGACAAAAGCGAAGUAGAAUCGAAGAACGCCGUUGACUACCCUCGUAUUUGAAAGGUCGAUUUCUAUAUACAAAGUGCUCCACGUAAUCGCACUUUGCUGAUAAUGCACUCGCUGAUAAUUAAAGCCAUCCUAUAGCAGAGCAAUGUAGCACUUUAACAAAUCAAUUCAGUAUUAAUAUUCAAAGUUAACCAUGGAAAGAAGGGGUAAAAGGAAUAUACGGCGCAAAUCGUAUUUCGGAUUGCCGACAAUGUGAGCCAGGUGAAGAUUACAUCGUGAUUCACGAGGUCUUUCGAUGGUACCCGCAUCGACACUAUCUGUCAUCGGAAACGCUACGAAUCAGGACUACGCACGAAAUGCGAAACGUCACGUUCUUCAACGUCCACCCUAACCGGAACAAUCUCAGCGAUUUUAUCUGACAUUCGACGUUAUGUGGAAACUAAAUAUGACAACUGUCAGAAAAUGGGAAGUCUUCCUGGUGGUUGAUAAACAAAGGAGGAUAAAAUGGCUACCCUUGGUGUAGGAGCAGAUAGUCUAAUCCCGGAUGAGACGACGGCGGAUGUGCGACGACGACGACGGCGACGGAAACGAAGGUAGAAGCGAGAAACAGCGUAGACACAUCUCUCGGAUUACGUCUUAACAAGCUCCACGACGUUCAUUUGUCUUAUCCGCUGCUGCUAAUGCGACAGCAGCUGUUGAAAUGAUUAAUUCGGCGCGAGGACGCCGUCUUGUUCCGCUCCGCCCGAGCAUUCGAUUUUGUCGUCGCAGAUGCGUCGCGGUUAAUCAGCGCAUUGCGGUUAAUCACAGUCGUUGCGAAAUACAAAGCUAAACGAAUAGUGUUUGAAUCUAACUAGAAAUACGACUUUGUAAAAUCUAUAUAACAAUAAUUAUAGAAACAUGUAUCAAGAGAAAUUGUGGCUUUAAACAGUCUAUGGAUUCUACAUUUAACAUAGAAUAUUAUUUUUAAAGACAAAAAUCUAACUGAUAGACUUCGAUAAUUCAAUUUGACAUGUAUAAACGUGUAUUUUAAGAAAAUGAAUCGAUCUGAUUCAAUCUAAUUCUAAACGUUAAUAGACAAUUGCAUAACUGUAAUUAAAUUCAAUGUGUAAGGUGUUCCACCGUACAAUGGUUCAUUGCUCAUAAGAGAAACCCUACGUGCGAUCGCUCGCACCCUGUCCAAACAAAUAGAAGCGAGCGCGCGGCAAUCUAAUUGGAUUAAUUUUCAAUUUGUCGAGGCCACCUGUCGUCGCGAUGCACCGAUCGCGCGUACCGAUCGAUGACUAAUCCGCGAGAACGAGGAAACUCACGGACGAGACACUGUCGAGCGCGGUCGGGGCGGAUUAUUAGAGUUGCGCGUAGAGGAACAAAGAGGCGCAAAGCGACAAUUGUGCCUCAUCGCGCGGAUAUAGAGUUACAGACGUGCGAGCGGAGAAAAUGAGCGGCGAAUAUUAAGCCGGCGUAGCAAAAUGGCCGACUGGGCGAGAGGAAAAAAUAGGGACGCACUAGAUCUCUCUUUCUCUCGUUCGUCACACGACGAGCGGUGGAGACACGUAAUGAACACUCGGCUCCACACACUCCGCUCGUCGGGUUACGACGUGACGCGGGUCGAAAUUUUGCCGCGUCGCUAACGCAUGCGUGACACGCGCCGAUCGAAAGCCCCGCCCGGUCAUUCUGCCUUUGUUUAAUUCACGCAGUAUCUACGCCCACGAUAACAGUAAUGUAACUAGAAGGUUUUGUAAACCUCGCUAAAGAAUGCCUUUAAAAAAUUUUAAACAAACAUGAGAUACAUCUCUAAAGAUAUAACUCUAAAAGAGAAAACCAUAUAAUUCAAAAUAAGAAUUCUACUCUAUGAUCUUGGGCAAAGAUUCAAUAUUUAAAAGUUGAAUGAAGUGAUUAUCUGACUUCUUUAUCAUUCAAUUAUAUUAAUUUAUAUUGUAGCGCAUCUGAAUGAACAUGUGUAUGUGCUCUGCAUAUGUUACACUAUUAUAAAAUUCAUAGAAAUAAAGGCAUACAUCGAGAUUAAUGUCAUCCAAUAUGUAAAUUAUACAAUAUUGAAAACAAGGUCUUUUUUAAAGGUAUUCUCUCUGUUACUGUUUAUAAUGCGACCGAUACAAUACGACCUAUAAUUAUUGUUUCUAUUCAUUUCCAAUCAAAUGAGAAAAAUAGAAUUAUAUUAAUUUCUUUUUUCUGACAAUGUGAUAUGUUGUUUAUAAGUUAAC